GGUAAAGGGAAGAUGUGACUACAAAGUGAUACCACAGGGAAUUUUUUCAGGUGUUGAAACUGGUCUGUAUCCUGACUGUGAUGGUGGGUUACAUCAAUCUAUGCAUGUGUGUACCUGUAUGACAAGUACACAAAAAAUAGACAACUUUACUUUAUAUUCUAUAAAAAAUAAAAAUUUUUAAAUGAUAUUGUAAAGGAAAAAACACACCCAAGCGCAAUGCCUUCACACCUGUAAUCCCAGCACUUCAAGAGGCCGAGGCGGGCGGAUCACUUGAGGUCAGGAGUUCGAGACCAGCCUGGCCAACCUGGUGAAACCCUGUCUCUACUAAAAAUACAAAAAUAACUGGGCACGGUGGCAGGCACCUGUAAUCCCAGCUACUCAGGAGGCUGAGGCAGAAGAAUCACUGGAACCAGGGAGGUGGAGGUUGCAGUGAGCCGAGAUCGCGCCAUUGCACUCUAGCCUGGGUGACGGAGUGAGACUCUGUCUCAAAACACAAACAAACAAAAAAAGAAUAAACAUGUACACAUGGAGCAAUAGCCUAUUAACUAUGCUAUUAACUAAGGAGGGGGUAGUUCAUAACACAUCACUAUGAUCCAAAUUCUAUAAAAAUAUAUUAAACAAUAGAAGAGGCCAGGCAUGGUAGCUCAUUAGAACCAGCUGGCACACUUCUGAGAAGAAGAAGAAAAAAAAAACAGUAUGCCUGGGCUGCACUCCAGGCCACUUAAGUCAGAAUACUGGGGCCCAAGCGAGGUAUUUUCUUAAAAUUUCCCCUGAUGAUUCUAAAUGAACAAAGGUUGAGAACCACUGCCCUGUGCCAUCUCCCAGUCUUCUGUCUCUCCUACUUCAUAAAUCAAAGUAAAAGUACAUAAACAAAUUAUGAAGAUUUAAAUUCCUGCUGCCCACAAUAAAUCUUGAAGAAGACAUUCCCAUCUUCCCCACUCAAAAAUUCAUUUCCUCUAAAAAGUAAACAUAGUAUUUACCUCCUCUAAGAUGCAUCCCUGAUUUAACAUACUCAAACCUGAUGAUAAUUACUUUUGGGGGGAAGGUGGGGGCAGCAGGGAGACAGUCUCACUCUUCUCGCCCAGACUGGAGUGCAGUGCUGUGAUCUAGACUGACUGCAACCUCUAUCUCCCGGGUUCCAGCGAUUCUCCUGCCUCAGCCUCCCGAGUAGCUGGAAUUACAAGUGUACACCACCACACCCAGCUAAUUUUUGUAUUUUUAGUAGAGACGGGGUUUCACCAAGUUGGCCAGGCUGGUCUCAAACUCCUGAACUGAUCUGCCUGUCCUGGCCCCACAAGUGCUGGGAUUACACGCGACAGCCAUCAUGCCCAGCCUAAUAAUUACUUUUUUUAACAGCGCUGUCCCAGCCACAGACUGUUUUGUUGUUUUUCGUUUUUUUGUUUUUUUUUUGAGAUGGUGUUUCACUGUUGUUGCCCUGGCCGGAUUGCAAUGGUGCAAUCUCAGCUCAGUGCAAACCUCUGCCUCCCAGGUUCAAGUGAUUCUCCUGCCUCAGCCUCCCGAAUAGCUGGGAUUACAGGCAUGCACCAUCACACCCAGCCAAUUUUGUAUUUUUAGUAGAGACAGGGUUUUACCAUGUUGGUCAGGCUGGUCUCGAACUCCGUACCUCAGGUGACCCACCCACCUUGGUCUCCCAAAGUGCUGGGAUUACAGGCAUGAGCCACCAUGCCCAGGCCACAGACUGUUUUAUAAAGCAAUUACUGUAUUCUUUUUAUUUGUAUCUCUAUUAUCUCCUGUCUGUAUUUCCUUCUUUUUGCAGUUUGUAUCUCUAUAUGAUAUUCUCUUCUACACCCAAGUUUAUCUUAACUUUUUUGUAUCCCUUACAUUUGAAGUGCUACAGUUCUACAGUAUGCAAAAAAUUUCUAUGUUUAGAAAGGUAUUAAAAGCCCCUUUCUCCCCUAGGCUGGAGUGCAGUGGCACAAUCACAGCUCACUGCUGCCUGAAGUGCUGGACUCAAGUGAUACUCCUGCUUCAGCCUCCCAAGUGGCUGGGCCUACAGGCAUGCACCACCACACCCAGCUAAUUUUUUUUUUUUUGUAGAGACGGGGUCUCACUAUGUUGCCCAGGCUGGUCUCAAACUCCUGGCCUCAGACAAUCCUCCCACCUAAGCCUCCCAAAGUGCUGGGAUUACAGGCCAUUAGCCCAUUUUAAAGUUGGUAUCUCAGAGAAGUAUCUUGCCAAAGGCACCCUUUUCAUGAAGCCAUCAGCAAUACAACACACAUAUCAGAGAGGUCACUCCUGCUUGCGUCCCCACUGUUCUUACAUACUAUAUUACAGAAAUCUAUUAUUUUUUUAAGUUCUAUAUAUACUUAUAGCCAACAUUCCUAAGGACAGACUACUAAAUGUUUAACAAUGUAAGUAUAGUUACAACUAGAGAUUUUCAGUUUAAAAAUAAUAUCAUACAUCCACAUUUACCUCUGCUCCCUCCCAAGAUCCCACUGAAAAGACAGUAAAGGAAUAAAGAAGGUAUUGAACAAAUCCAAAAAGACAAAAAGAACAAGUGAAGAGAAAAUAGCAACAAAAUUUUUGAAGUUGGAGGGCAAAUGGAAAAGCAUUAACUAAUCUGUUUCCUCUCCUCCCCAAAAAUCUUAAAAGCUAAGCCAGCAGGGAAAGAAAGCCCAAAACAUUCACGUUGUAUUCUUUCUCACAUACAUAGGUAAAAGAGGUCUAAUAAUUAAAAUUGCUGGCUGGGCAUGGUGGCUCAUGCCUGUAAUCCCAGCACUUUGGGAGACCGAAGCAGGUGGAUCACCUGUGGUCAGGAGUCCAAGUCCAGCCUGACCCCAUCUCUAGUAAAAAGACGAAAAUUACCUGGGCAUGGUGGCACGUGCCUGUAAUCCCAGCUACUUGGGAGGCUGAGACAGGAGAAUCGCUUGAACCCAGGAGGCAGAGUUUACAGUGAGCCAAGACCACAUCACUGCACUCCAGCCUGGGCAACAGAGCAAGAAUUCAUCUCAAAAAAUAAAUUAAAUUAAAUUAAAUUAAAUUAAAAAAUAAAAUAAAUAAAUAAAACUGCUUAAAAGCAGUUGUUUUUACAAUAUUUUCUCAAUUAAUUAAUACUGCAACCAAGCUCCAAUCAUAAUAGGGCCCUAAUUUUUUUACCUUAAACUGGGAGUUCUUGUACUUUAAAAUAUGGGAAUCAUGGCCAAGGUAGUUCAAAUUAACCUUGUUACCUACAUAAGGCAGACAAACACUUGUUGAACUGAACUAUAUAAUUUAAGACAACAAAACAAAAAGUAGGACCGGGCACGGUGGCUCACACUUGUAAUCCCAGCACUUUGGGAGGCCGAGGCGAGUGGAUCACAAGGUCAGGAGUUCGAGACCAGCCUGGCCAACAUUGUGAAACCCUGUCUCUACUAAAAAUAGAAAAAAUUAGCUGGGCGUGCAGGCGCACGCCUGUAAUCCCAACUAUUCAGGAGGCUGAGGCAGGAGAAUCGCUUGAACCUGAGAGGCGGAGGUUGCAGUGAGCUGAGAUCGCGCCAUUGCACUCCAGCCUGGGCGACAGGGCGACCUCUCAAAAAAAAAAAAAAAGUAACAUUUAUUGACUGUUUAUGGUGAGUCAAGCAGUAUUCUGUAUGUAUCAGUUUAUUUAAUCUUUACAAUAACCCAGUGAGUUAAGUACUAAUUAUGAAGCACAGAGAGAGGUUAAGCAGUUUGCAUAAGGUCACACCUGGAACUUAAAUUGUCUGGCUCCAGAGCCAAUAUUCUAUUCUUUCUUAAUAUCACUAAAGUCAGUCACCAGAAACAGAGCCAAAGUACAUAUUCAUAGCCCAAAAAGAGAUUCUGCUAAAUUAAGUUUUUAUAAAAACUCAAAUGCAUUCAUAAGACAUCUUCUAGGGCUAUUGAGAUCCGAAUUCUAUAUCAUGUUUAUCUCUCAAAGAAUAGUUGAGAGUAGGAAUGCCGCAUGUACCGAAGUUAGCCAGGAAUUAGAACUGUUUUGAAUCAUUUACAGUUUCCAUCACUGGGAGACUGCACAUUUUAGCCAAAAAAAAUUAUUUCUUGAGGACUAUGCAGGCACCAUGACCUCUCAGAGCAGGCAGCUCUGGGCCUGAAGUUUGAUCAAGAAGCUCUUACAUCAGGAAAGAAAAAAAAAAAAAAAACACCCGAUCUAAACCUCACUGAAGCUACAGUAAAGUACAAAGAUCUUCCUCUUAUUUAUGACCACAUACAAAUUUCUCAAAUCAAAGUCAUUAUCUGUAUUACUGAGGGACUGACUCUAAAAACCCAGUGGAAAAAAAAAAGUCACUAUCUAUAUAGGAAAAGAAAAAAGAUACAAAGAAAUGUAAAACUGGAGUGUUUGUCUAAGAACACUGAGCAGGGCUGGGCACGGUGGCUCACGCCUGCAAUCCCAGCACUUUGGGAGGCCAGGGCGGGCGGAUCACGAGGUCAGGAAUUCCAGACCAGCCUGACCAACAUGGUGAAACUCCAUCUCUACUAAAAAUAGAAAAAAAAUUAGCCAGGCAUGGUGGCGCACACCUGUAAUCCCAGCUACUCAGGAGGCUGAGGCAGGAGAAUCGCUUGAACCCGGGAGGCAGAGACUGCGCCAUUGCACUCCAGCCUAGGCAACAGAGCAAGACUCCAUCUCAAUAUGUAAAUAAAAUAAAAUAAAAUAAAAACACUGAGCAGGUUUUUUCUUCUUCACUGCAACACAGAUCUGGAAUUCACUUCGGAAACUGAAGAGACAUGACUGUCUCCUACCCAUAUACUGCCAUAUCCAUUGAUUAAUACCUGCACACAUAUACCUUCACUUACAUAUGUAUAUAUACUACAUAAACAAAUCUGUAUACACACAGAACUAGUAAUACAACUAUCUUAACUUCAUUCUGACAUUUAGCCACACCAAUACACUAAAAGAUAUUUAUCCAAACACAGAUUACUGUAUAUUUGUUACAAACAUUUAUAUUUCCAUCUACAUCUGCCUAUCCUCUAUGUAUAAACAUUUAGUGAACAUUUUUUAAAGUAAUCACGAGGAGUGUGGCAAUAUUGACCAAGCAGCCAAGAGACUCAAAGGAAUUAGCAUUUGCUGAGCAUCCCCUAUUUUACAUUUGUCAUGCACUGUUAGGCACUUUUAACAUGUUUGACCACUUAGUCUUCCCCACCAUCCUAUUAAACAUUAAUCUUAAUUUACAGAUGAGGAAGCUGAGGUUCAGGAGGUUUAAGUAGUGAGUUCAUAAAAGAACUAAAAUUCAAAAUUCAGGACUACCUAACAUAAAGCGCAUGCUCUCUCCACAUAAUCUCAAAAAAGCUUAUAAAAAAGACAAACGGUAUAAAAUGUACUACACUGGGGAGGGGCAUUAUUUCAGGAAGUAAGAGAAAUCAUCACCCCCAGUAAUUAAGUAAGAGAACACCUUAACAAUAUCUUACUCUCACAAAAAAGCAAAAUCUAGAUGGGUUCUGUAGGAUGGUGGAAAGUGGUAAAUCACAAAAAAACCUUAGGAAGUUCAAAGUUCAGUUUAAGUCCAAAAACUGAAUAUAAAAAAAGCUUUAAGUAAAAAAGAAAAAAAAAGCAAGGUUUUCUUGUUUUUGUUUGUUUGUUUGAGACAGAGUCUUGCUCUGUUGCCCAGGCUGGCACAAUCACAACUCACUGAAGCCUCAACCUCCCAGGUUCAAGCAAUCCUCCCACCUCAGCCUCCCGAGUAUCUGGGACUACAGGUGUGCACCACCAUGCCCAGCAAAUUUUUUUAUUUUUUUCUAGAGACAAGGUCUCACUAUGUUGCCUAGGCUGGUCUCCAACUACUGGGCUCAAGCGAUCCUCCUGCCUCAGCCUCCCAAGGUGCUGGGACCCCAGGCAUGAGCCACAGCACCAGGCCAAAAGCAAGGUAUUUACAGGGAAUUAAAGUAGAUAAGACAAACAUUUUUGGGGCACUUGUCUGGUAAGUACACUGCUGCAAACACUUUACAUGCAUAAUCACUUAAUUCUCACAAUUAGUACAAUUAUCCUCAUUUUGCAAAUAAGGAAACUGGAACAGAAAUAUUAAAUAAUUUAGUCAAGGUGUUUAAAAAUUUAGACAGGUGUUUAAAAAUUAAAAUAAUUCUGUGUAAUGGGAUGAAUUUAAAAAAAAAAAAAUUUUUAAGACACUGGGAUCUUAACCCAAGCUAUCUGUGUCCAGAACCAAGCUCCUUUCUAACUAUUAUGCUAAAUUUCAUGAACAAACAAUAGCUAGGGUGAAGGACAUAUCUAGUAAUAUGAACAGUAUGGUCAAGUGGUGUGUAGCUUUUUUAUUUUUAAAACCCAAAGUCAGGCUGGGUGAGGUGGCUCAUGCCUGCAAUCCCAGCACUUUGGGAGGCCGAGGCAGGCAGAUCAUGAGGUCAAGAGAUCGAGACCAUCCUGGCUAACAUGGUAAAACCCCAUCUCUACUAAAAAUACAAAAAAAAAUUAGCCGGGUCUGGUGGGGGGCACCUGUAGUCCCAGCUAGUUGGGAGGCUGAGGGAGGAAAAUGGUGUGAACCUGGUAGGCGGAGCUUGCAGUGAGCCGAGAUCACACCACUGCACUCCAGCCUGGGCGACAGAGCGAGACUCUGUCUCAAAAAAAAAAAAAAACAAAGUCAGCAAAUAAACAUAUAAAAAGAGACAAAUAAGCAUAUGAAAAGAUGCUCAACAUCAUGUCAUUAGGAAAUUACAAUUUUAAAAAAGGAGAUACCACUACACAACUACUAAAACGGCCAAAAUAUAAAACCCCCAAAUGCUGGUGAGGAAGUAGAACAUUCAUUGCUGAUGAGAAUACAAAAUGGUACACAGCCACUAAGAGUCUGUCAGUUUCUUACAAAAGUAAACAUACUCUCACAUGCAACCCAGCAAUUGAGCUCCUUAGUAUUUACCCAAAUGAUUUGAAAACUUAUGUCUACACAAAAACCUGCACACAAAUGUUUACAGCAGGUUUAUUCAUAAUUGCCAAAACAUGGAAGCCAGCAAGAUGUCCUCCGGUAUGUGAAUGGAUAAACUGUGCUACAUCCAGACAAUGGAAUAUUAUUUAGCGCUAAAAAGGAAUGAGCUAUCAAGCCAUGAAAAGACAAGGAAGAACUGUAAAUGCAUAUAGAUAAAGAAGGCAACCUGAAAAGUCUACAAACGGUAUAAAUACAACUAUGACAUUCUGAAUAAGGCAAAACUAUGAAGACAGUAAAAAGAUCAGUGGUUGCCAGCAGGGAGAGGGGAGGGAACAGUUGGGGGGAAAAGGAAGGGAAGGAUGAAUAGGCAGAGCAGGGGAUCUUUAGGGUAGUGAAACUAUUCUUUAUGAUAGUACAAUGGUGGAUACAUGUCACUAUACAUUGUCCAAACCCACAGCCUGUACAACACCAAGAGUAAAUCCUAAUGUAAACUAUGCACUUUGGGAGAUGAUGAUUGUUAGUGCUAAGAUCACGGAUGGUAACAUACCACUCUGGUGCAGAAUACUGAUGGGUGGGAGGCUGUGUGAGCACAGAGAUAGAGGGCAUAUGGGAACUGUCUGUACUUUCUGCUCAAUUUUGUUGUUAACCUAAAACUGCUCUAAAAAAGAAACACAUAUUUAAACAAAAAAAAAGUCAAGGAAUGUGUUUACUUAGCAAUUAGUAUAUAAGGAAGUACUAAUAUACUCAUUGUUAUAUAUGCAUCCAAUCAAAAAUACUCGAGUUUAUACUGUAUAUAUUAGGGCUGGGCGCGGUGGCCCAAACCUGUAAUCCCAACACUUUGGGAGGCCAAGGUGGGCAGAUCACUUGAGGUCAGGAGUUCGAGACCAGCCUGGCCAACAUGGUGAAACCCUGUCUCUACUAAAAAUAAAAAAUAAAAAUAAAAAAAAUUAGCCAGGUCUGGUGGUGUGUACCUGUAAUCCCAGCUAUUCAGGAAGGUGAGGCAGGAGGACUGCCUGAGCCAAGGAGGCAGAGGCUACAGUGAGCCGAGAUCGCAUCACUGCACUCCAGCCUGGGCCACAGAGUGACACUCUGUCAAAGAAACAAUAAUAAUAAAUAAAUAUAUACAUACACACACACAUACACACACACUGUAUAUUAGGCAUCCUGGGGAAGGGAUAUAUAAACAAAUAAACAAAGUACCUCCCCACAAGGAGCUUGAAAUAUGAGACAGACCUCAUAUAUUUACAAAAAGCUAAAUAAAAUGGAAUUUAAACUUAAAUAGUUCAAGACGGUUGAAAAAAUACCACAAAAUACUAACCUGCCAGAUUACUAAAAUGGACACUAAUAGGACCAUAUGUGCUUAGGGCUUCAGUCAUUUCUGGCUAAAGGGAUCAGGAAGUUAAGAUACGCUCUAGGUCUUGAAAAUGACUAAGACUUAGCUAAAUGACUGGAGCGAAUUGGUGCAUUCCAAGAAAGAACAAAACUACUGUAGUUAGGAAAAAGAAUUAAAUGGACCAUUUCACAAAACUUAUAAAUAAGGAGACAAGACUAGAGAGACUAGUAAAAGCCAGAUCACGCAGCUCAGAGCUUCAAAAAUCUUCACUCUUAAAUACUGACAGGGAGCAAAUACUUACCCAGCCUGUGUAUAUACUGAUAGCUCUUAAUCCAGUUAAACUGUAUUUAUAAACAUUUUAUAUCAGAUACAGAUAAUAUAAAGACAUAUACUAGUAGUCAUAGUUAAAAAUUCACUGUCUUUGCCACUCAAUACAUAUACAUACAAGUCCUGUUCCCAUCCUUCAACUGCAAAUCUACAGGCAACCCAUAACCCUAUAAACUGAACCCCAGGCGUCCAUAAGACCUAUUACUGUAUCACCUAGUCUUUAUCCCCUCAGACACAGAUGUCUUUCCUCUGUGGUAGAAAAGAAAGUGGCCCAUUGCCCAUAAACGGGAAAGAGGGAUUAUGUUAGGACCAUGAUCGCUACUGGCAUCUUCUCUCUACUCUAUUUAUAGGGCUGUCACCCUCUAUUAAUCAUUAAAAGCAAACUUACUAAAUACCUGCAGAUUCUAAGUAAAACAUAAAAUGCAGCAUUCCCUCCUCAAUCAUCUGAACUGGGGCAAAUAGGACCCUAUACAACCUCUGAUAAUUAUUAUUAAUAACAAACUUCUGGCCAGGUGGGACAGCUCAUGCCUGUAAUACCAGCACUUUGGGAGGCUGAGGUGGGAGGAUCAUUUGAGGCCGGAAGUUCAAGACCAGCCUGGGCAACACAGCAAAACCCCAUCUCUACAAAUACGAAUAAAUUUUACAAAUAAUAAUAAAUUUCACUUCUCAUAUAUGAAAAUGUUUCAGAAUGCAUCCAUUGUUAACUUCCAAAUUUUUUCUGUAAUCCUUCAUUCCGUUCACUAUAAACCCUUCUACAUAUUUUAAUUCACAUACUCAAUCUUCAUGCAUGGGGACCUGCAAUUGUAUCCAAUCCCGAACUCUUCUAAUCAACAGAUGCCCCAACAAAACCUGUUAUCCCAAAUCAAUGCUACAUUUUACUUAUCUACCUACACCUUCAUGUUAUACAUCUAAAACCCUCCUCUUUAGUAAUCUACCACUAAAGUGAAUAUUGUCUUUCCUUCCAUGUACAGGCACAUAAAUAUAUGUCCAAUUUCCCCAACCAACAAAUCCUGACACACAUUAUUAUUCUCAAACAUGGCCUCCAGACAUAAAAAGCACACCAUAAAAUUCCUCUUUCUAUCCAAAACACUUGAAUACUUUUGUUAAUGACUUUCUUUAGAAAUCCUAGUACAUAUACCACUUAUUCCAAGUUAAAAAUCACAAAAAUACUACAUCCUCAAGAUAGAAACAUAUACUAGAAAGUGUAGACAUAUAUGAAAAGGAUAAAAUCAAAUUAAAGAUAACGUUUAUGAAGAGGGAGGAUUGGAGAAAUGCAGUCCAGGAGAGAUUCAGCUGAGAUUUUAAUCCUAUUUGUAAAGUUUUAUUUCUUAACCUGAGUUGGGGAUGCAUGGUGUUCACUGUAAUUACUCUUCAUACCUUUUCAUACUUGAAAUACUUUUAAAUGACUUUUAAAAAGAAAGACAUCCAAUUACCAAUGAGCAUCUCCCUCUUACACACAGUGAGAAGCCAUUAUGUCCAAGUUGCAGUAACUGUUCACUGCUACAUCUGGGCCACCCCAUCAUUUACCUAAGCCAAGAAAAGAAAAAAUUACAAACCUACCUCCCAAAACUUUCUCUUAGAUAUGUUCCAAGUUUAUAUCCUGAAACUAUACAUAAUCCAAUUCUUUCACAACUCUCACAUCAACAAUAAUUAACAUGUCUAAUUUCACGUUUGCAUCCCUAAAUUGCCAUUUACUCUUACAAAUGCCUUAUUACUCACAUAGUAAACUUUUCCUUGUUCGUCUACGUUAAAAUACAAGUGAAUUGGUUGACCACAUAACUACUUCCACUUGGCUAAACGCAGACAGUUGUAUACAUUACAUCUCUAUGCAGGAGUCCGAUUCACUCAUACACUAACUUUUCAAUCUAAACCUACAACAUCCAAAUUAAGCCACCCAUCAUUUAACCACAAAUGAAAUGUCAUCUCCGCCAAAUCUAACUCAGCCAGGGCCAUUCCAAAACCACUCCAGUCCGUCCACUGAGCAUACACCUCACGCAUCUGAAAGUCCCGUCCCUGGACCAAGGUUUACGCCACCCAGAAGUGCUCUCCUCCAAUGGUGAGACUCAGACACACCUUCAAAUCCUAAUUUUCGGCUCGCUGUGGGAAAACAAGUAGAGACAGCCUGAAGUUACAAACCCAAAGGAAUCUAUUUCAUACACCACAGGUCCUGACUUUCUCGUCACUGGGGCGUAGAAGUUGGAAGCCCCGAGCAAGGGGACCAGGUCUAGUCGUCUUCGGCGUCCGCAGAGUCCUACAGUCGUCGACCAAGCAGUUCAGGCAGCUGGCCCGCCUACUUCCCUCCCCACCCCCACCACGACCCACCCCACCCCCACCCCACCCCCACCCCCACGCUGGGCGCACAGCCCGCGGUCUGUCCCCCGCACUGCGGGACCUGAGAACAGCAGACUGCCGGCUCCUCUCCCACAAGGGAGGGCUUGGUUGCCGGCUCAGACGCUCCCCGCCCCUCGCCUCCGGCCACCAGCCUCUCCGCCCGGGGUCAACCCUUCCAGCCUUUCGCUCUCAUCUAACCGGACGCAGGACCGACAGCCUCUCCAGGGCCUACCCGGGCCUCGCUUCCUCCGGUGCCAAGCUCCAAGGUCUCCUCACCUCUCGCGGAGGACCAAGCCAGACCGGACGCUCCAGGCCCGAAAGGCAACUCCCCUCCCACCACUCCCUGACUCGCCGGUCUUUCCUCCCAACUGCAGCCGCUGAAAAAGCCAAGUCCUAAGGUCCCCCUCCAUCAGCUUCCGGGCCUCCCUUCACGGCUGGGCCCGAACCCCCAGCCCUGCCCUCUCGCCAUCUCGCUUCCCCGAGUCGCGAGGCCGAGCCCCGGGGCUGGACGGCUUCUUUCCCCGGCUUCGCGCCCGCCCGGCGUGCGGAAGACUCACCACUGAGCGCGGAGGCCUGCAGUGUGGCCCCCGAGGUGCCGUCGAUGACUUUGAUGGUCCCGCGGCUAGUGACGGC
rnacentral:lncRNA from 10 species